AUGUGAUUCCCCUCCAACUCUGUCCAUUUUGCAUUUAUGCCAGUGAAAUAAGGAGCUAAUAUCUCUGAGCAAGCCCAGGGUAGGGUAACCAACCAUUCCAAUUGCCCAGGACUCAGGGAAUUCUAAGGCACAAGACUUUCAGCUUCAAAACUGGGAAAGUCCCAGAAUAAGAAUGGAGUCGAUCACUCUAGCACGAGACCUGGAACCACAGUAAUUCGAGUUUCAAAUUUUGGUUUUGAAACAUCUUCAGACAUCAUAUUUGUUUCUAUUUUAUGGACUGAGAAUUUCUGCUUUCCUUGGAGUGUAAACACAGCUGGCUGGCUCUUGCUAGCAUUUAACUCAUCAGCUGACUUGUGUAGCAGACGGGGUUUCUUCAUCACAAAAGGUUUUAGAUGUGAGAGUCCAAGCCUGAUGAUCAGCAAAUCUCAGAGGACUAACAAAGACGGUGUAUAGGAUAUUCAUCUUCUCGGACGACAAGAAAGGCAGUUGAAACAUCUUGGGGGGCUUAUAUUUCUACUUUCUCCUGCAGUUCAUUUUGAUGUCAUUAAAUAUUAAUUUACCUUGAAUACUUCCUCCUCCAGCAACCGCCCCAUCUCUCUCCGCUUCUUUCCAACAAAACGCCUCCAUGCAGGGAU